rnacentral:rRNA from 1 species
GACGAACCGUGCAAACGUUGUUCGGAAUCACUGGGCUUAAAGGGCGCGUAGGCGGGUCACCAAGUCAGGGGUGAAAUCCUCCAGCUUAACUGGAGAACAGCCUCUGAUACUGGUGGUCUCGAGUGAGGUAGGGGCAUGCGGAACUGAUGGUGGAGCGGUGAAAUGUGUUGAUAUCAUCAGGAACUCCGGUGGCGAAAGCGGCGUGCUGGACCUCUACUGACGCUGAGGCGCGAAAGCCAGGGUAGCGAACGGG